rnacentral:rRNA from 1 species
AUUGAACGCUGGCGGCAGGCCUAACACAUGCAAGUCGAACGAGUGGCGGACGGGUGAGUAAUGUCUGGGAAACUGCCUGAUGGAGGGGGAUAACUACUGGAAACGGUAGCUAAUACCGCAUACCAUCAGAUGUGCGCAGAUGGGCUUAGCUAGUAGGUGGGGUAACGGCUCACCUAGGCGACCAUCCCUAGCUGGUCUGAGAGGAUGACCAGCCACACUGGAACUAGGACACGGUCCAGACUCCUACGGGAGGCAGCAGAGGGGAAUAUUGCACAAGGGGCGCAAGCCUGAUGCAGCCAUGCCGCGUGUAUGAAGAAGGCCUUCGGGUUGUAAAGUACUUUCAGCGGGGAGGCGUUACCCGCAGAAGAAGCACCGGCUAACUCCGUGCCAGCAGCCGCGGUAAUUC